rnacentral:rRNA from 1 species
GAUGAACGCUGGCGGCGUGCUUAACACAUGCAAGUCGAACGGGAAUUACUUUAUUGAAACUUCGGUCGAUUUAAUUUAAUUCUAUUGGCGGACGGGUGAGUAACGCGUGGGUAACCUGCCUUAUACAGGGGGAUAACAGUCAGAAAUGGCUGCUAAUACCGCAUAAGCGCACAGAGCUGCAUGGCUCGGUGUGAAAAACUCCGGUGGUAUAAGAUGGACCCGCGUUGGAUUAGCUUGUUGGUGGGGUAACGGCCCACCAAGGCGACGAUCCAUAGCCGGCCUGAGAGGGUGAACGGCCACAUUGGGACUGAGACACGGCCCAGACUCCUACGGGAGGCAGCAGUGGGGAAUAUUGCACAAUGGGGGAAACCCUGAUGCAGCGACGCCGCGUGAAGGAAGAAGUAUCUCGGUAUGUAAACUUCUAUCAGCAGGGAAGAUAGUGACGGUACCUGACUAAGAAGCCCGGCUAACUACGUG